AACCCUGCGGCGACCGGCGACGGGUAGUAAUGCAUCGGAACGUGUCCUCUUGUGGGGGAUAACCAGUCGAAAGACUUGGCUUAAUCCCGCAUGAGCUCGUAAGAGGAAAGCAGGGGACCCGCAAGGGCCUUGCGCGAGAGGAGCGGCCGAUGCCCGAUUAGCUAGUUGGUGGGGUAAGAGCCCACCAAGGCGACGAUCGGUAGCUGGUCUGAGNGGCGACCAACCACACUGGGACUGAGCCCGGCCCAGACUCCUACGGGAGGCAGCAGUGGGGAAUUUUGGACAAUGGGGGCAACCCUGAUCCAGCCAUGCCGCGUGUGUGAAGAAGGCCUUCGGGUUGUAAAGCACUUUCAGACGGAACGAAAUCGCUCACGUUAAUACCGCGCGUGGAUGACGG
rnacentral:rRNA from 1 species